UUGGAGGGCAAGUCUGGUGCCAGCAGCCGCGGUAAUUCCAGCUCCAAUAGCGUAUAUUAAAGUUGUUGCAGUUAAAAAGCUCGUAGUUGAAUUUCGGGAUCAAUUUAUCGGUCGUGCUUACGGUAUGAACUGGUACAAUUGGUUUCUCCCUUCUGACGAAGCAUGAUGUCAUUAAUUUGGUGUCGUGGGGAAUCAGGACUGUUACUUUGAAAAAAUUAGAGUGUUUAAAGCAAGCAUUAGCUUGAAUACAUUAGCAUGGAAUAAUGAAAUAGGAUGUUUGAUCCUAUUUCGUUGGUUUCUAGGAUCGACGUAAUGAUUAAUAGGGAUAGUUGGGGGCAUUAGUAUUCAAUUGUCAGAGGUGAAAUUCUUGGAUUUAUUGAAGACUAACUACUGCGAAAGCAUUUGCCAAGGAUGUUUUCAUUAAUCAAGAACGAAAGUUAGGGGAUCGAAGACGAUCAGAUACCGUCGUAGUCUUAACCAUAAACUAUGCCGACUAGGGAUCGGAUGAUGUUAAUUUUUUAAUGACUCAUUCGGCGCCUUACGGGAAAC
rnacentral:rRNA from 1 species